rfam:Schistosoma mansoni strain Puerto Rico chromosome 1, complete genome
AUCCAGCUGACGAGUCCCAAAUGGGACGAAACGCGCGUCCCGGAU